CCCGUACCCGCCGCCAGCUACCGCACAAAACCUCGCGAUAAUGAGCUGGGGUUCCGCCCCUUCCCCUUCCUUCUCCCGGGUACUGGUGUCCGCAGGCGCAGUGGAGGCUUCCGCGUCUGAAGUUCAGAAAGACCCAGAGGAUGAGGCUGCACUUUUCCCUUUUCUCCGACAGCCGUAAGGGGGCGAUACCCUAAUGGCAGCUAUCACACCUCCUUUCCCGUCUAGUGCUGUCAAGGUGGUCUGGGACAGAGUCGCAGGAUCUUCCCAGCACCCCGGGGUGACUGCUGCGAUGCCCACCCACCAUCAGCCACAGCACAUUCCAGCAAUGCAGGAGCUGUCGAGCAAAAAAAAAAAAAAAAAAAAGGUGCUUCUUCCAAGUGUCGGAGGAUGGUUGCCAAGACACCUGCGGCUGUCCCAGACUCGUUCCAGGACACAUCUGCCCUGGCCUCAGAAGGCUUAAAAUUUGGGCCAAACCCAGAGGACUUUUCCCGUCAUUACUGUGUAAGUUCUCAAGCAGGGCCAUAAAGUGCACAAAGUACAGGCUUAAGGAGCAGCACAGGUUCCAAAAAACCAUCGGGUGGGGGUUCCGUUCAUCUACUUGUGCUUCUUGGGUAGUAUGGGCCAGGAGUAACAUCAGGGACUAACUGGAUUCUGAAGAUCAGCAAUAUGUGAGAGAGCUGGAGAGGCAGCAGAGGCUGCUCGGAAGAGCUCCAGAAAGCUACAAAGAGAGAUCUGAGCCUUGACUGAUGCCAGUCUGAAGGAAGCCAAGCAGAGACACUCCUACGUGGCUUGUGCCUGGCUGUCCUCCCAAAGCCUCAAAUGUUCACAGGUGUGGAGUUAUAAAGGGUUAGUGUUUAGGGUGUGUGAAUAUGGAUUAAGGGUGUGGUACUGGGAUUAAUGUUAUAGAUAAUGGAAAGCCUCAUCGUGGUAUAGGUGGCACCAAUCAACAGCUAGGUGGAAUGUAAAGAGACAGAAAGAAGGUAGGCUUGCUGCUGCAUGUUGCUUUGCUGCCUUCUGCCUGCCACACCAUGAAUUCUUUCUCUGUGAUACCUUUCUGCUAUGCUGCCCUGCCUUGGAGUUAGCCAACUAUGGACUGAAACCUCCACAACAACGAACUGAAACAAACUCUUAUUCCUUUAACUCGUGGGUGUUUGAUAUUUUGACCUAGCAAAGAGAAAAGAAACACACAGCGGUGAACCUGGUUUUUAAGUAUCUUUAAAAAAAAAAAAAAAAAAGUUUCGGGGUUGGGGAUUUAGCUCAGCGGCAUAAACGCCUGCCUUGCAAGCAGGCAGUCAUGAGUUCGAUCCCUGGUACCGAUAAAAACGAAAAAGACAAAAACAGAAAAAAGUUUCAGAGCCAGAUGUGGUGGCACAUCCCUGUAAUCCCAGCACUCAGGAGGCUAAAACAGGUGGGCUGUGGUAAGUUCAAGUCACCCUGAACUAGAGUGAGACCUUGUCUCUAAAAGGUGUGUGUGUGGGGGGAGACACGACAACAAACAUUAUCUGCAUUUCCGAAACUUCUUCCAUUAAUAAGAUUCUCACUGAAGCACUCUUGGACCAAGUGGAUUUAUUAAUUCAAUCAAAAUACAUCAAAAUAAUCAAAUGGAGAAUUCCUGUUCCCUCUUCACAUUAAGCCCACCAUGAGCAAAACUCUGAUACUUCUUGUAGUCCCUUCCUGUCCCACCAUGAAGCAUGUCUUCUGUCUACACCACCUUCUGCAGCUAAGUCAGCCUCUUGACCAACGUUAAAGAUCUCUCAUGGCCCCUCAUAAUGACACAACCCCAAUUCUCUGCCCUCCACUGUCCUCUCUGAAGCCCACCCAGGUUCUGCUGAAACAGGAACCAGGGAUCUGGCACAUGAUAGGAACUCAUGUACACUAUUUGUUGGAUACCUAUUUACUGCUAAAUGGAACCAGUAAAGUGUCGUUUGCCCUCCAAGAAAUAGCCACCACUGUAGCAACUUUGAAAGACUCUUGUAAUUCUUUAUUUCCUGUUAUUGCAAAUAAAGUUCUGAAAAAUUUCACAAAAUGACAGUAUUAGAAAUCACCUAUGUAAGAUUAAAUGACAAGAGUAUUAGAAAUCACCUACAUAAAACUAAAUUCUUUAAAGAAAACCAGAACAUUAAUUUCAAGAUAUAACAACAUGUACUUGGAGCUUAUGAUUUUACAUACUUCCUACAUACUACUCAGCCUGUUCAAAUAUUGUUUUAUAUUUGUUCAGAACUUUUACAUUCCUAACCUGCAGCCUUGUGAUGGGUAUGCCUGGGGCCACAAUAUGAGGAACUGUCUUGGGAUUCAUAUAAAAUAUAUAAUUAAUAUAUAUAAAUAACAAAGCUUCCUUUAUUUCUAAACUUUUGGGGCAGGGCAUUGUCAUACUAAGUAGUUCAGGGCCUACAGAGAGUGUCUCUGUGGAGAGCCACGGAAGCUAGAAAUUGAUCACACAUGCAAGGCUGGGGCAUGGCUAUCCUAAGAACAAACUGCACUGGGGCGAGCCACGUGAAGAAGCUGCUUAAGCCUAGAAAAACAUCAAGCCCCUAUAUAACCCAAACAAUGGGUUGCUAAGCAAAGGGGUACCACAUGACAUUGUGUUGCUAAAUGUAUAAACGUCCCUACAGUGAGGGGGCAGUUCCUUUCUGCCUAUCUGGAGAGUAAGGGCUCCACCUGACUCCAGCUUUUGUCUCUUAUUUUCUCAUCCUCUUACAGUCCUUCACCCAAGUGACCUCAAGAGCAGGGCAGGUCACAGCAAUCCUGCUCCUGCCUCCUGAGUGCUGGGUUCCAGGUACAUGUCACCAUGGCUCCACUUUUUUUUUAAAGUUAUAACACAGGUGUGUUCAAUCAACAGGCCACAGGUAGGACAUAAAUACCUGUGUGAAGCCUUCCAAAUAUUAGGGUAAGUACAGUAAUUUUUUUUUGGAAACAGGUUCUCAUUACACUGUUCAGGCUGGCCUUCAGUCAUACCAGCCACCCCAGGCUGGUCUCAAACUUGCAAUGAUCCUCCUGCCUAAGCCUCUGGAGGGCUGGGAUUACAAGCAUGCAAUACCAUGCCUAGCUAGUAAUGUUAUUUUUGUCAGCAGUAUACUUUUGACCAUGGAUAGGUUCUAAAAAUGUGGUUUACUCCUCAGCCCCUAUCAAAGAAUAGAUGACAGUGACUUCAACUGGUGACCAUGACAGUUUCUUCUUUGAAGGUGAUGGCACAGCCACUUUACAAUGGGCUAGGACAACUUUAUUUUCUUUUUUAGAGCAGUACUGGGAUUUGAACCCUGGGCACCUUUCAAGGAAAUCACAUCACUGUCAGUUGCUGGAGAACUGGGUGGUAACAGAAAGAAUGUUUAGUGUACAAUGACACAUCACUUUCUUACAUUCUCAAGUGUGAACACAUGUUAACACUGUUGCUGAUCUGACUACUGCUUAGUUAGGUGUUAAAACACUGUCAAUUUAAUAAUGUCUCACUUUACCAGACUUACCAGAUACCUAAGAAACUAACAGGUGCUCAGUGUUGUCAGGCAAAUAAAUAUGAAAAAACUCA